GAGGGUGCAAGCGUUAUCCGGAUUCACUGGGUUUAAAGGGUGCGUAGCGGGCAGGUAAGUCCGUGGUGAAAUCUCUGAGCUUAUCAAAAUGCAU
rnacentral:rRNA from 1 species